AGAGUUUGAUCCUGGCUCAGGACGAACGCUGGCGGCGCGCCUAACACAUGCAAGUCGAACGAGCGAGAGAGAGCUUGCUUUCUCGAGCGAGUGGCGAACGGGUGAGUAACGCGUGAGGAACCUGCCUCAAAGAGGGGGACAACAGUUGGAAACGACUGCUAAUACCGCAUAAGCCCACAGCUCGGCAUCGAGCAGAGGGAAAAGGAGCAAUCCGCUUUGAGAUGGCCUCGCGUCCGAUUAGCUAGUUGGUGAGGUAACGGCCCACCAAGGCGACGAUCGGUAGCCGGACUGAGAGGUUGAACGGCCACAUUGGGACCGAGACACGGCCCAGACUCCUACGGGAGGCAGCAGUGGGGAAUAUUGCACAAUGGGGGAAACCCUGAUGCAGCGACGCCGCGUGGAGGAAGAAGGUCUUCGGAUUGUAAACUCCUGUUGUUGAGGAAGAUAAUGACGGUACUCAACAAGGAAGUGACGGCUAACUACGUGCCAGCAGCCGCGGUAAAACGUAGGUCACAAGCGUUGUCCGGAAUUACUGGGUGUAAAGGGAGCGCAGGCGGGAAGGCAAGUUGGAAGUGAAAUCCAUGGGCUCAACCCAUGAACUGCUUUCAAAACUGUUUUUCUUGAGUAGUGCAGAGGUAGGCGGAAUUCCCGGUGUAGCGGUGGAAUGCGUAGAUAUCGGGAGGAACACCAGUGGCGAAGGCGGCCUACUGGGCACCAACUGACGCUGAGGCUCGAAAGUGUGGGUAGCAAACAGGAUUAGAUACCCUGGUAGUCCACACUGUAAACGAUGAUUACUAGGUGUUGGAGGAUUGACCCCUUCAGUGCCGCAGUUAACACAAUAAGUAAUCCACCUGGGGAGUACGACCGCAAGGUUGAAACUCAAAGGAAUUGACGGGGGCCCGCACAAGCAGUGGAGUAUGUGGUUUAAUUCGACGCAACGCGAAGAACCUUACCAAGUCUUGACAUCCUGCGACGCACAUAGAAAUAUGUAUUUCCUUCGGGACGCAGAGACAGGUGGUGCAUGGUUGUCGUCAGCUCGUGUCGUGAGAUGUUGGGUUAAGUCCCGCAACGAGCGCAACCCUUAUGGUCAGUUACUACGCAAGAGGACUCUGGCCAGACUGCCGUUGACAAAACGGAGGAAGGUGGGGAUGACGUCAAAUCAUCAUGCCCUUUAUGACUUGGGCUACACACGUACUACAAUGGCGUUAAACAAAGAGAAGCAAGACCGCGAGGUGGAGCAAAACUCAGAAACAACGUCUCAGUUCGGACUGCAGGCUGCAACUCGCCUGCACGAAGUCGGAAUUGCUAGUAAUCGCAGAUCAGCAUGCUGCGGUGAAUACGUUC
rnacentral:rRNA from 1 species